UAAGACGAAUCAAAUCACUAACUAAUCCAAUUUUCACAACAACUUUAGAUGGCACGUAGUAUCAACACCCGAUUUUAGAGAAAAUGCAAACAAGUGCAGUCUAUUUGAUCUAAAACUUCAUUCUUUUCUACACUCUUGUUUGCUCCUGCGUUGGAAAUGCUUGUAAACUUUUUUCGUAAAACUUGAGUAACAAGUGUUCCU
rnacentral:lncRNA from 1 species